UAAGGCGCUGGAGGUGGUCACGUACAAUUUUUGUCACGUUCAAUUUCUUUUGAAGUUUCCCGAUUUGCCCUCACUCCUCGCGUUUCUUUUUCACUAUCGCUUUGCGCACCGCUCGCUCACACACUCUCUCGCUCCUCUCCGCCGCCGGGGUCGCCGCCCUCCGCGGCCCCAGUCGCCGCCCAUCCAUGGCUCCGUAUCACUGCCGCCCCUACCUCCCUCUCUCCGUCGGCAUCUUCCUCUCGCUCCCCACCGCAGGUUUUCUCCCGCAGUCCUUUCGAGGUCAAAGCUCACAUUUUUAUCCGCUGGAUCUGCAGGAACGACGGACAUGAUGCCGGCGCGCGGACCAGUACAAAGCACGGGCCAGCCUUGCACGGCCACCCUGCUCUCUCCUGCUCGCUCCUCCCCUGGGACGCACUGUCCGCGAGGAGGCCUGUUUCUUGGCUGGCGCGGCGGCUCACCGUCAACGGAGCGCGCUCGAGGCGGCGAGAGAUGAGCUGUCUGGUGUGGAUCAAGAAGAGGGGUCCAAGAGCGGGAGGCGGGGGUCGUCGGCCUCGGCCCCGGCCACGACCAUGACCACCACAACAACAGCCACGGGGUCGACGGUGAGCACGAGCCGGUCAGACGACUCCGGGGCGGGGGGGGGGGGGGGGGGGGGCAAACAACCAGCAAGUCCACGGGCUCCGCCUCCUCGCAGCCGAGCAUCUCCUUGCUCUACGAGGAGCGCGGCCACGGCCAGCUGCGCACCAGAGAUGAGGUCAAUGGCCACACCGGCGAGCGGCAACACUAAGGACGGCCGGAUCUGGCCGGAAAGGAGGCAGCAGCGGCGCACUGAAACUUGAGGCCCUUCACCGCGCUCAUGUUCGUCGGAUUGCAAGGUUCUUCAUUGGCUUCUUCAGGUGGAGUGAAAUUGAGGUCUAGAACUACCAUGAUGUCAAUUGAGCCAACGAUUUGUUACUGUUGUUGUCGAGGAUCUGCUGUUGUUGCUUUUAUUGAGGGCUAAUGAUCUGUUCUUAUUGGUUUUGUUGAUGAUAUGUUGUUAUUGCUUCUGUUGAUGAUCAACUGCUGUUGAGACCGGGAGCUACAGUUGAGGAUGUACGGCUGUUGCCAGGGGAGAGCCUGGAGGAGCUCGCGCGUAAGAGGAGCUCCUGGCCUUCUCCUCUGGGCCUGGGCGAACUGGACCUUGCUGGCGACGCGGGGAAGAAGGGAGGCGGUACUGGGCAAGCUUGAUCUUGCCGGCAAGGUGCUCCUGGGAACGGCGGCCGACGGCCGGCGAGGUGCCCUCCUGGGAACAGCGGCCGGCGAGGUGUCCUCCUGGGAACGGCGGCCGGCGGCCGGCGAGGUGUCCUCCUGGGAACGGCGGCCAGCAGGAAGCUGGGCGGCGAGGUGCCUGGACGAGCAGGAAGCUAGGCGGUUAGGAGGAGAUCGUGGGUGGAGGAGAAGCUGGGCGAGGUGGGCAGGGGAGAUCUGGGCGAGGUGGGUGGCGACGAGCUGGGCGGAGACGAGCUCGGCGAGGCGAUCCAGAUGUAUUUUUGAAUUUCAAAUUGAUCGAAGGGGUAUUGUUGUCCAUUACCGAUUUUUUGGGGCUGUCGGAAAAUGUCUUCCGCGCCUUACAAAAGUGAACGGAGGGAGUAAAACAAUCUAUAGACUACUGCAUUUGCAGACAUGUACAGAUGGACUCCAAAUUCAGUUUAUUGAUAAGCUUCUAAUCAUGAAUAAA